rnacentral:rRNA from 1 species
UACGAAGGGUGCAAGCGUUACUCGGAAUUACUGGGCGUAAAGCGUGCGUAGGUGGUUUGUUAAGUCUGUUGUGAAAAGCCCCGGGCUCAACCUGGGAAUGGCAAUGGAUACUGGCAGGCUAGAGUGCGGUAGAGGGUAGUGGAAUUCCCGGUGUAGCGGUGAAAUGCGUAGAGAUCGGGAGGAACACCAGUGGCGAAGGCGGCUACCUGGACCAGCACUGACACUGAGGCACGAAAGCGUGGGGAGCAAACAGG